ACUGGACUAUCCUAGAUGGCUACAGCAUCAAGACACACACAUUCUGGGCAAAGGAUUAAGCUCCAAAACAACAUUAGAAGGAGCAAAUCAAAUAUAAUAUGGACCUAAACAUACCAUUCCUUAUGCAUUAUGAACUGAUCUUCCGUCAGUAAACCCGGCAGCAGCCCAGAUGUUGGAACUCCAGGAGUCACACAGUAUCGUUGGGUUGAGGAGAUGGCUUAGUAGUAAGAAUUUGCCUGGUGGCCUAAUUGAGAUCUCUGAAGCCCAGAAUUUAUGUAAAACGCUGGAUGCAUCUUGGAAUUCCUAUAAGGACUUAGAAGGAGAAUCAGCUGAAAGCUUUGGGGCAACUGGUCUGAAACACACUUUGGAAACAGAGGAGAGCAGCUUCAACAGGCACGGUGGAUUCUUGCUGGCAAGGGGAAGAGGAUGAAGAGUUUGUGAACCGUUU
rnacentral:lncRNA from 1 species